rnacentral:misc_RNA from 1 species
AGAAUCGAAUGACAACAUAGAAACAUUGAACUCACGUCAAGGUCAAAAAAUAGAAUAUUUUUCGGACUUCUCGUAGGUUGACUGACAGUCGAUGUAUAGUCGUUGUCGUCAAUUUUGGGCGAUAAUAGAGGUAAUAGAUAAUGAAGAUGGUACAAAAGUGAAGGAAAAUUAUUGUUUUGUUUCAAAUUUUCCGUACUUAUAAAAUGUAUUAAAUUCAAAUUCUAUUUUCAGUCGAUAUUUGGUCGUAUAACUCUAUAAUGAAUAGUAAUAGCCAUGAACAUAAAAAACACAAUCCUGUUGAUUUAGUAGUUGGGAGGAGUGUCAGAACGAAAUUAAUCAAACGCUUGAAUGGAGGAUCUUUUGGAGACAUUUGGCUUGGCGAAAUCCUAAAAGGAUCUACAGAAGGAAUGAAAGUUGCAGUUAAGCUAGAAUUACAAAGUACACAAACUCCGCAACUGAUGAAUGAGAGCCAAAUUUAUGAUAUACUUCAGGGAGGGCCAGGUAUUCCCACGAUGAUCUGGCAUGGUCUCUACGAGCCAAUUUACACCGUAUUAGUUCUAGAUCUUCUAGGGCCGUCACUUCAAGAUGCAUUUGUCUACUGUGACAAAAAGUUUACAUUAAAGACUGGUCUCAUGAUAAUGGACCAAUGUUUAGAAACUUUAGAAUUUGUUCAUCGUCAUCAUGUUAUUCACAGAGACAUAAAACCUGAUAAUUGGGUAUUGGGUUCGGGUGGAGCUCAGCAUAAAUUGUACUUAAUCGAUUUCGGUUUGGGCAAGCGAUUGAGACGACCUAGUAUAAUGGGAUCGACUCGGAUAAGUAGGUCUUUGUCAAUGAUUACUCAUCCACUUGUUGGAACUGUGCGAUAUGCAUCUAUUGGCGCUCAUCUUGGACACGAAGAAACUAGAAGAGAUGAUCUUGAGUCCUUAUCCUACAUGUUCCUAUAUCUAACUAAAGGAUCACUGCCAUGGCAAGGUCUAAAGGCCUCGAAUCGUGAAGAAAGACUAAAAGGCAUACUGGAAGCUAAACAAACAAUAACUUCUUCAGAAUUGGCCGAAGGCUUACCAAAAGAGAUUUCUAGUUUUGUGGAACAGUGCAGGCAUCAAACUGCGUAUCAUUCAAUUGAUCAUAACAGUGCUCGUGAGUUCUUUAAAACAUUAGCUAAUCGAGAAGGAAUCAUUUAUGAUAACAAUUUCGACUGGAUAAUAAAACAAAAAGAGACCAAUACUCAAUUAGAAAGCCACACAAGAUCGGAAAUUCACCAUAGUAGUUAAACUUAGGAAAUGAUUGUAUUCCUUUAAAACUGUUAAUCGAUGAAGAACCUCCGACAUUUAAUAGUGACUAGCCUGCAUAUUCUGCACUUGCCUAAUUUUCUGUAUUGACUGUCUGCCCUAAAAAAACCGAA